UUAAAGAAAACGGUCCAAAAUUGGACCGAACGGGCCGAACCGGUUAAACCGGGCCCAAACCAGACCGUGGGCCCAACCGGACCAGCUUUUAAAAAGGACCCACGUCCUCAUCUUCCCCAUUUCAGCAACGUUGAAGUUGCAGGGGAAAGGAGAGAAAGGAAUCCCGUAACCCUUACGGUGAACUCCGAACGCCGUAUCUCCUCCGUCCGAGCUCCGAUCGCCGCACCGUUUGUGGCCACGCGACCACCGCAUCGAGCUCUACGUUUCUACCGGAACAAUUUCAUAGAUGUAGGUCGAGAGGCAUCUUGUUAGGCGUCUGGACUCUUGAAGCGGAGUGGUUAUUGGGUUAUUUUGUUAUGCUAUGAUGUAUAUAUAUGUACUUAGCUUUCUCUCCACAUAACUUAUUCUUUUUGAUCCUCCUAGAGGUGUAUGGAGAGGCAGGAUUUUGUUUAUGUACAUUUGAGUUUUGGAUAUGUAUAUAUAUGUAUAUAUGUGUGUAUAUUCUCCGGCCAGUCUUGACUUCGCAGGCUGAGUCAGGAGCUCGUUAUUUUGUAUCUUUGACUCUCUAUUCCUGUUUUGGGUUACUUGACACUUGAUAGCUGUAGCUUUCUUUGCACGCAAGUUAACUCAUUUCUCGAGCGUUGCGCUUUUA